GGUAAUGUUAGCUCAGUUGGUAGAGUGCUUGCCUCACUUGCAUAAGGCCCUGGGUUCAAUCCCCAGCACCA
rnacentral:tRNA from 1 species